rfam:Populus trichocarpa scaffold_18_contig_91, whole genome shotgun sequence.
UCAAGAACUUGAGAUAUGGGCUAAACACUAAACAGUGUCUGGGCUGCAGGACAAAUUCUGAUUUCUCUAUUGUUGCUACAAUUUGAACUUGCAAAAGGUCCUUUUGAAUCUUGGACUCUUCAUGAAAGUUUUAGGCCUAUGUCUUAGCUUUUUAUC